GCCGAAGUCGGACGCUUCACCGACCGAGCCACCCAGGCAGCACAGGAUCCUAAGUCAAGGACACGCGGGGACACAGAGAAGUCCCCAGGAGAAACCUGGCUUCCUUGCUUUUCUGUCCUGCUGUGUGCCAGGCCCCGAGGGCAUCCUGCCGGGGAGACAAGCCCCGCAGGGUGAAAAGCGCCCAAAGACAGCAAAUGCCAGCUGCCGUGCCCAGAAUCCUGACACUGGCAUUGUGCCACACAGCGUGCGCCCGAGGUGCCCUCGCCGAGGACUCGGGACGGAGUCACGGUGCCCCUGCUUUGGAAACAAAGACACGAGACCCACCCUCUGCCUGGAGAGCCGACUCCCCUCAGGGAAUCUUUCAGGUCAAGUUCAAACAUCACCCCCUCUGAUCUGAAGUGAAGACCCCCCCCCCUUUGGGCUGUGACCCUCGGCCUCAAGUGUGAGUUGUGCUCAGACACAGGAAGCUUCAGCAGCCGGGAGCCCGUCUCCUCCCCCUCCCCCUCCUCCUCCCAGUUUGAGGGCCGGGGCCCCCCCCCCCCGCCAUUCGCCACCCCUUCUCCGUCUGGGUAGAGCGGGCAGUGGGCGCUCAGUGGACACCCACAGUGAGGACAGCAAGUCCCGCUCGGCUCCCAUGCUUGUGCACUGUCUGGGGGCCGAACAGGCCCUCGCGGCUGUAGGGCCGGGGGGGCCUCUGCACCCACCCGCCCCCUCCACCCGCAGCAAAAGCAAAGCCAGGGCGUCUAGAAUAUCAGGGUGUUCGGUCACCCAGCCCGGCGCCCCCUCCUGGAAGCCUGCCGAGCACAGACUGGGGAAGGAGGGGUGGAAACACCAAAGUCAUUUCUCCCCCACUUGCUAGUGAGGCCCCGGGCCUCCCUGUGCGUUGCUUCGUAGUCUAACGCUCUUUGUUCCGGAAGCAGGCCCGUGCGGUGGCCCGAGCGGGGACUAGCGUUGCUGACGGAGAGCUCAGCGAGCUCAGGGCCUGAGAAGGCUCGGGCCCCGAAAGAGAGACAGAGAUGGCCACUCUGCGUGCCCGUCCCCUCUGCUUCGAGGCAGGGAGGGGUCCCAGAGCGAGCGCCUGCCCCGAGGAGGUCCCGCACUCCGUGCCUCGGGGACUUGGUGGCACAGCGGACACCUCUGAGAUCCGAAGGGACUCCCCUGGCCCAUGGGCGGCUCCGCGAGGCCGGGGAAGAAGUCAGGAGCGUCAGGAAGCCUUGGCACGGAGGCCCCAGGGUCCCGACAGCCCCGGGGCAGGAAGGGGAGGCCAGGGCACGGCCCCUCCAGAACAGCCCCGAAUGGUCUGUUGUCUCGGCUGGGCCUCCGCGGGACCUCAUACCCCACCGCACGAUGCCAAGGUCACGAGGCGGCCCCCCUCUGCGGCACCGGGCAGGCGCGUUACGUUUGGCCCACACGACGGCUUGAAGCGGAAUUUUGUUUUAAUUUUUAAAAAUCGGCCGUUGGCAGAGUUUACAUAAAAUUCAGCAUUUCUGCUCUUGCACGGUUCUCCGAGCUGGCGACGCGGUGCCUCUCUUUCUGCUUGGCCACGCGCAGCUGGAGCUCUGCUGGCGGUGCCCCCUUCCGACCGGAAGGUCAAGGGCGUUGGAUCUGUGGCCACCGAGCCGCGGCUUCCACCUGCCCAGCCCUCAGACUGCUCUCAACCUCCUCGCUCAGGAAGGAGGCCGAGCACAGUGCAUUUGCCCGCCUCCCUUGACCGCCACCCGGACCGAUCCGGUGGGUUCGGCCAGCGAGGCCGCCCUGGGAGCCGCUGUGGCCGGGUGAACGCGAAGUCAGACGUCUUCAAGGGAUGGCACCAAGGCAGGCUACCGGCCAGGGGGGCCCCGCACCUGCCCGCCGCCACGGUGGCGAGCACUCUGGAAUGCUCUCCGGAGCCCCGAAGGCCAGGUGCAAAAGCGUCUCUCUCCUUGCCCCUCACGCGUAGAUAAUGCCUCCGACGGAGCACCCGGAAGGCGCGGUCCAGACGUCGGACACUGGCCGUCCCAAACUGCGCUUGGCUCAGCAGUCACCGGUGGGGAGGCCUGGUGGCUUUCUGUUCCUCCUCACGUAACGCCUCAGAGACCCCACCUCUCGGGGUGGGUUGUAUAGACGGUGCCGUGAAUGUGGAGGGGCGUCUCUGUGCAUGUGGGUACAGCGGCGGGUCUGUGGGCACGGCGGCGGGUCUGUGGGCACGGCGGCGGGUCUGUGGGCACAACAGCGGGUUUGUGGGCACGGCGGCGGGUCCGUGGGCACGGCGGCGGGUCCGUGGGCACGGCGG